GCGAGCGAAGCGGGAAGAGCUCAAAUUUAUAAUCUGGCACCUUCGGUGUCCGAGUUGUAAUCUCUAGAAGUGUUUUCCGCGUUGGACCGCACACAAGUCUGUUGGAAUACAGCGGCAUAGUGGUGAAACCCCCGUAUAUGGUGCGGACGUCCAGCGCUUUGUGAUACACUUUCAAUGAGUCGAGUUGUUUGGGAAUGCAGCUCAAAUUGGGUGGUAAAUUCCAUCUAAAGCUAAAUAUUGGCGAGAGACCGAUAGCGAACAAGUACCGUGAGGGAAAGAUGAAAAGCACUUUGGAAAGAGAGUUAACAGUACGUGAAAUUGUUGGAAGGGAAACGCUUGAAGUCAGACUUGCUUGCCGGAGCUUGCUUCGGUUUGCAGGCCAGCAUCAGUUUUCCGGGGUGGAUAAUGACGGUUUGAAGGUAGCAGUCUCGGCUGUGUUAUAGCUUUCCGUUGGAUACAUCCUGGGGGAC
rnacentral:rRNA from 1 species